UGCGUAGGCGGCUUUUUAAGUCGGAUGUGAAAUCCCUGAGCUUAACUUGGGAACUGCGUUUGGAACUGUCAGACUAGAGUGCGUCAGAGGGGGGUGGAAUUCCGCGUGUAGCAGUGAAAUGCGUAGAGAUGCGGAGGAACACCGAUGGCGAAGGCAGCCCCCUGGGAUGACACUGACGCUCAUGCACGAAAGCGUGGGGAGCAAACAGGAUUAGAUACCCGGGUA
rnacentral:rRNA from 1 species